rnacentral:rRNA from 1 species
AGAGCGAACGCUGGCGGCAGGCUUAACACAUGCAAGUCGAGCGGGCGUAGCAAUACGUCAGCGGCAGACGGGUGAGUAACGCGUGGGAACGUACCUUUUGGUUCGGAACAACCCAGGGAAACUUGGGCUAAUACCGGAUAAGCCCUUACGGGGAAAGAUUUAUCGCCGAAAGAUCGGCCCGCGUCUGAUUAGCUAGUUGGUGAGGUAACGGCUCACCAAGGCGACGAUCAGUAGCUGGUCUGAGAGGAUGAUCAGCCACAUUGGGACUGAGACACGGCCCAAACUCCUACGGGAGGCAGCAGUGGGGAAUAUUGGACAAUGGGCGCAAGCCUGAUCCAGCCAUGCCGCGUGAGUGAUGAAGGCCCUAGGGUUGUAAAGCUCUUUUGUGCGGGAAGAUAAUGACGGUACCGCAAGAAUAAGCCCGGCUAACUUCGCGCCAGCAGCCGC